rnacentral:rRNA from 1 species
UAGGGAAUCUUCGGCAAUGGACGGAAGUCUGACCGAGCAACGCCGCGUGAGUGAAGAAGGUUUUCGGAUCGUAAAGCUCUGUUGUUAGAGAAGAACGUUGGUAGGAGUGGAAAAUCUACCAAGUGACGGUAACUCACCAGAAAGGGACGGCUAACUACGUGCCAGCAGCCGCGGUAAUACGUAGGUCCCGAGCGUUGUCCGGAUUUAUUGGGCGUAAAGCGAGCGCAGGCGGUUCUUUAAGUCUGAAGUUAAAGGCAGUGGACUAACCAUUGUACGCUUUGGAAAGUGGAGGACUGUAGGGAAGAAGGGGAGAGAGGAAUUCCAGGUGUAGCGGUGAAAGGCGUAAAUAUAAGGAGGAACACCGGUGGCGAAAGCGACUCUCUGGUAUGUAAAUGACGCUGAGGCUAGAAAUCGUGAGGAGAAAACAGG